rfam:Oryza barthii chromosome 4, whole genome shotgun sequence.
UUUAAGUGUAAUCGUGAGUUUCUGUGUCCAACGUUUCAUCGUUCAUCUUAUUCAAAAUUUUUUUAUGAUUAUUAUUUUUAUUGUUGUUAGAUGAUAAAACAUAAAUAUUACUUAUGAGUGAUUUAUUUUUAGAAAAUUUUAUCAUAAAUUUUUUAAAUAAAAAGGAUGAUCAAAUGUUGGACACAGAGACCCAUAACUGUACUUAAA